rnacentral:rRNA from 1 species
CCUACGGGUGGCUGCAGUGGGGAAUAUUGGACAAUGGGCGAAAGCCUGAUCCAGCCAUGCCGCGUGUGUGAAGAAGGCCUUCGGGUUGUAAAGCACUUUCAGUGGGGAAGAAAGCCUUGGGGCUAAUACCCUCGAGGAAGGACAUCACCCACAGAAGAAGCACCGGCUAACUCCGUGCAGCAGCCGCGGUAAUACGGAGGGUGCGAGCGUGAAUCGGAAUUACUGGGCGUAAAGCGCGCGUAGGCGGUCUGAUAAGCCGGUUGUGAAAGCCCCGGGCUCAAACCGGGAACGGCAUCCGGAACGUCCAGGUAGAGUGCAAGAGGAGGAAGUUGAAUUCCCCGGGGUGGCGGGGAAUGGCGUAGGAUUCGGAGGAAAAACCGUUGGGGAGGCGGCCUUCUGGACUGACACUGACGCUGAGGUGCGAAAGCGUGGGUAGCAAACAGGAUUAGAUACCCGAGUAGUC